AGAUGAAAAGCAUCUCAGGGGAAGUGAGUAUUCUGUUCUUGCUCUCGGCUGUUUCAGUUGUUGCCUUUGAUCGAGCAUUUGGAGAUGAAUUGUUGUGCUGUUAAGUGUUUUGCUUCAGGUGAUAUCCCAGAGAGUCUCCCGAACAUGCUAGUCCAUCUGCGUGAUCUUAUAUUAUAUGGACUGUCCUUUGGACAAGAAGAUGAGCUACGUUUUGUUCUUCUCUUGGUUGCAAGCUCCCCAAAUUUAAAGAAAGUAAAAAUGGAGAUGAACUACAAUCCAACGAAUCACAAACCGCCAUGAACCUUUUUGACUUGCAAGACUAUCCGUAUCUUAUUAACUUGGAUCAUCUCGUUGAAUUGGAGAUUACAAACUUUAGUAACAUGAAACCUGGAAUGGAUCACGUCGUUUUUUACUGAACUUGUUUUGGUUGUGUGAUUGAUGUCUUUUGGUUUGUUUAUUUUCUUCCUUUAAACUUGUUGUGUUUGCAGCUUGUGUUUUGAAUGGAACCAAAGAUAUCAUUUCCGAAA